UCUACUAACGUAUCAAAAAGCUCAGUGGCUGAACUUCCAAUGUUGUGAUAAACGAAGAGGCAAAGAGCACAAGCUCCCAUACCAAAUAGUACUGACCAAAUAUCUUCUUAACAUACAAAGAGUAAAUAUAGAUCUAGCUUAGCGCUUAAGAUAAAUUUCACACAAAUUAGAACCUCAGGGUUCAAUCACUGUACAUUUUCUGGGCUUAUCAGAUCUGAAGAAACUGAAGAGUGAAGUGGUGAUUGUUGAUAGGUAUACGUACAAGUAUAUGUGCGAGGAAGCAUUGACACUGUUGUACUAGAUCUUCAGGUUUUUGGGAUAAAGUAGUGAGGUUGAAUCGGUUGUUUAAUUCAGAAAUGGAGACACUUGUUAUUGUUUCUCAGCAUAAGAAUCAGUACUAUGAUAGAACUACUAGGGUUCAAUCCCAUGCUCGAUUUGGGCAUUUUGGUUCACCUCCUUCUGUUGGUUUUAAGGAGAUUAAUUGCCGGACUUUUGAUUCAGGUGCCGGUAUACUUCCUACCCCAUUAAUAUCCUACUCCACACCAAAAAAAUCAACCCCAAGUAGUGCAAUUUCAAUACCAAUUAACAUUAAAGUUGGUGCUGAAUCUAGAAAAUUUGAGUCUUUGAAUGAUGAAUUUGCUUACUCUGAACUUUGGGCUGGACCAGCUUACUCAAACUCACCUCCCCCUAGUUCUUUGCCUAUGCCCAAAUUUUCUCUCAAGCCUAAAAGGACUGUGUCUCUUGACUUGCCUGUUUCACCCUCUGAUAUUGAUUUGCAUCCCUUGGCUAAAUCUGCACCUGCUUCUCCGACCCGUGAGCGCAGCCCAUCUCCGGGCAUUUUAUUUGAUACUACUGACUCUGCGACACAGACUCUUCGUCGCAUUCUCAAUCUUGAAAUAUAGAUUGAUGAGUGUGUGAUGAGGGGUUAGUGAAGAACUUAUAAAUAAGGCAGUUAUCUAGUUUGCAAGUUGGUUUUUAAGUAGAUUGUAUAUAGGUGAAUAAUGAAUCAGUCUUUAGCUUGACUUGGUGUUAGUUGCUUAGCUUUUGUUGUGGUGGAACUGGAGAGCAGCUUUGGUUCAAUGGUGGAUGGGCUACAAUAGUUGUUAUAGUCUUUUGGUGGUUUAGGUUGUAUGAGAUGAACAAUGGCAGGUUGAUCAACAUUUCUUGGUAGAUUCAAAGCUGAUUAGUCUUAUAAGCAGACAGGGGUUAAAUUCAGUAGUGGUGCAACAACAUGGAGGCGUGUUUGUGGAGAGGUCAAUGGACAGAAGAAUCUUGGUAUUGCGGUAGUUUUGGUAUAUUUGGCAGUUUCCUUGCUGAGCCUUCAGAACUGGUUGCUCAAUUAUCUUUAAUGCUCUGGCUGAUCACAUUACGUGUGAUAUCGAAUUCUCGUUCUUGAUUAUACUUUUCUCAAUAGAUUGUUCAUUCCUCGUCGUCUCUUCAUAAUCAGUUAGCUUUAGUUUGUCAAACAGAUUGUACAUAUACUAGGGCUCUGAUCAGGUUAGGUGGACAGCUUUCUUUCAGACUUUUGUUUUAUACACUGACUAAAUUCUUGGCUCUCUGAUCUUGAAUUUAGAAUCCUUCCCUCUAUUACUGGGCAAUUCAAUAUCAAAAUCUUCUACUGUAUGGAGUAUUAGGUACCCCCUUAUUCCUUACAAAUCCAUGAUGCCUGAAUUGGCUGGUCAGCGUUCGUUUCAUCUGUGUUCCUUGUCAUUUGUUUUCCUUAACCUUGAAUAGGAUCUAACUCAUACUUUCCCUUCUCUAAGUUGUGUUUUCCCCUUCACCAUUUUCUGUUUUUUGGAAUGAAAAUUGGUAAGUGGGACGUAAAAGUUAGUUAUAUCCUUUUCUUCUCCUGCUCUUAGGUAAGUUGCCUAUUGAGCUUUCCUCUUGUGAAGUCUAAUAAGGGUCUCCUAAGUGGUUGUUCCACUUGUUUCUCUGCUAAAAGUUCCUUUCUGCCUCUGGAGAUUGUUGAUCAUACCUGGCUGUUGACUAGGGCCUUGUUCAGAGUUAGACGAAGAUUGCUGAAGAGGCUGUUCUCCAUGUUUUUCUAGUUGGUAGCACUAUAUAGCAUUUCAUCAUAAUAGCGUAAUUGGUGAAAGUUUAAUAUCUGUAGUAGGUGUUUUUUCUUGUUACUUGCAAAACUGAUACUAUGCCAUGAUUAUCUAGUUAUGUUAUGUUUUGAUGCUCGGGUUGUUAAGUCUACUUUUGCCUUUGUAUGAAGGAUCAAUAUUAUGGUUUUAAGGUUGUGAUAUAGACAGUGAUAGUUGCUUCAGUUA